rnacentral:rRNA from 1 species
UCUACGGGUGGCAGCAGUGAGGAAUAUUGGUCAAUGGGCGCGAGCCUGAACCAGCCAAGUCGCGUGAGGGAUGACGGUCCUACGGAUUGUAAACCUCUUUUGCCGGGGAGCAAGCGUGCGUUCGUGAACGCACGUCGAGAGUAACCGGAGAAAAAGCAUCGGCUAAGUCCGUGCCAGCAGCCGCGGUAAUACGGAGGAUGCGAGAGUUAUCCGGAUUUAGUGGGUUUAAAGGGUGCGGAGGCGGGAUGCCAAGACAGCGGUACAAAUGAGGUGAUCAACGCCGUCGAGCCGUUGAAACUGGCGUUCUUGAGUGGGCGAGAAGUAUGCGGAAUGAGUGGUGUAGCGGUGAAAUGCAUAGAUAUCACGCAGAACUCCGAUUGCGAAGGCAGCAUACCGGCGCCCUACUGACGCUGAGGCACGAAAGCGUGGGUAUCGAACAGGAUUAGAUACCCUAGUAGUC